AAACCCAAAAGAUCGAAUGGGGAGAUUCAUCGCAAGCGUGGCUGGCUUCCGUGUGGUUCGCGAUGGCCGGGACCUCGGUCUCGCGUCACGCGUCCGCUGCGGUAUGUCCGGCUACGUCGGCGUGCACUUCUCCCCUAGUAGGACGUCGCGACCCGUUGGGUGUCGGACCGAUGGCCGUUUGGUCGCCUGUCUCGUCGCGUUUACGCGUGCACGAGGCAGACCGAAAUGGUCGAGCGUCCGGCUGCCCGGCGGUAUAGAACGCUAUUGAACGGUAAUGAGCCGCAUUAAGUGCGUUCAGGCUCGUCGGCAGGCUCGUCUCGCCCGGAUUUACGGACCUAGCGCCGUUGCCGGGUGCUUGGCGUGGCCGUUAGUCGACGAUGUCCUCGGACUGGCUCUAAAAUUCGAAAGGAUUACCGGUCGGCGACGCUACUGCUUUGGGUACUUUCA
rnacentral:rRNA from 1 species